CAGGGGGAGGGAAGGGGAGUAGAUGGAUCACUCGGGCACCACCGAGCACUGAGGAGCUGACCUUCCAGUCAAUGAAAAUGUCAAUUUUUACUGUAUGAAAAGAAGGAAACAAAAUCCUUACAUCAGCUUUAGUCCUUGUGGAAAUCACCUUUGUUCCAUCUUGAUCUGGACCUUUCUACCUGUGAGAACUUGUUUAGUACCAUUCGCUUUGGGUACAUAAUAAUACCAAUUACCUUUGGCCUGGUUAACAAGUGACCUGUAGCGUUCUCAUCACAAAUAUGCCACACUCCAAUGAGAACAAGGACUGCCCUCCCCAUCAUGUUCAUUGGCAUUGCCGCUGACGGGCUCUCCACCGUCAAUCACCUGUGCGGAGGGGCAGAGUAAUUUGAAACUCUCCAGGGUUUGCUAUGUAACAUCACAUGCUCUUUGUAGUGCUGCCGUACACGAUCAGAACUUGAAAUAAUACCUAUGUUUUCUCUAAUUUAUUUUUCUCAGAACGUAUGGACCGACCAUUUGUCUGAAAGUUAAAUGUUUAAACAGCCUGAAAACAGCACGGCAUCAACAAAACACCAGCUGUGCAGCAGCAAAGGCUGUCUGUGUGGGAACAUUUCAGUUACUGCGCAGCUCGGAAUAAUAUGGGACAGAGAAUAAUACUAAUGGAAGGAAUCAGACUGAGCUAAGUCACAGAUUGAAAUUCCCAUUCUCACACAGGCAGGAAAUCUGUUGGGGAAUUAGAUGGACAGACCAGUUGCCGGCGUCAUGAGCAGUUAGAAGACCCUACAUUAUCCCAGAUUGCUUUGCUGUAUGCUAACUAAGGACGUGGAAGGAGGCGUGUGACUUUGGCUUCGAAGGACAAAAAAUAAGAUGAUCAAAAACAGAAAAGAUUUUCAAGACUUUUGACAACUUGGUUAGAGUCCCCCAAACACAAACUAAUCCAAGAGUUCAUACUCUCGAGGAGAAUGAUAACAGUAGGUGAUGCAAUACAAUUUUACAGGCUACAAUGACAUAAUUUACUUCAGUAUUAUGUUUCUCAAAUGGCUCCAUUGAAGUACAUACUUAGAGUGGGAGAAUAUUGAAUUGAUAAGAAACCACUGAAGGUUCAGUCACCUUUGUUGGGACAAACUAAUUCACAUAAACAGUCCACACAUUGCACUCGUUCAUUAUUUAAUCGCAAUCUGUCACCACGGGGAUUGCAUCUGCCUGACGUAAUUGGUUUGUAAAUAAUUUUAAAACAGCUAUUUUUAAAUCUGUUAAAAUGUGUCCCUCUGGAGUCGCUAAAUGGUAUUAAAAACCGUAGGCUUGGGCUGCCUUUACAUUUCAUUCCAAGAGAUCGCCUGUAGCACAGUGGGGACAGAUCACUGGACAGAGAAAAUGCCUGCAUUGUUCAAUAGGUACAGAAGUGUGGAGAAAAUACUGUACGUGUUCAUCGCCGUCAUUGGAGUUCCUGGUAAGUGAGCAGAGCAAUUCUUGUUUGGUAUUUCUGUGUGUUAACCAUGUGAAUCUGUUUAUGAUCAUUUGACGAGCUUCUAACUUGAUGAUCAUUGUAGAAAUAUCCGUCAGAGAUAUUGAUCCUGUCAGUUCAACACUCUGAAUUUUCAUAUUUAAUGACAAGCGGAGCUAAACUCCUGUCUCUCAUCAAACUCACGUGAUCGACUCGAACGUUGUUCUUGCCUUCAAUGACACCUUGUCCGGAGUUGUCCCAGUGUGGGGACAGGCAGCUCUCCCGCAAGGUGUGACUGGAAUGGGUUUACAUUGUAAAGUUCACUGUUUCUGAGUUAUCGAUCAGAGAGAACCCCUGGUCCUGUGUUUCAUGUCUCCCUGUGGAGUCUGUCACAGUCCGAUCCCACUGCCUGUCGGUCAAUAAUUGGGUCUGAUCAUCUGAACCAGUGUCAACGGAUCUGCUGACGAGAGUUAUCGAAUUGAACUGCGCUGUGGAAUUAAUCCAUUAACGGAGCCGCUCAGCCUCAGGUUGCUCAGUUGUUCCUGCUUUCCCUCUGAGACGCGUCGUAAAUUUUCUCCAGGACAACUCUUCGUCCUGGAGAAAAGUCUCGGCCCAAUACCAAAGUUUGUUCAAUUCCAUGUACAGAAUGUUGCCUGACCUGCUGAGUCCCUCCAGUGUUUUGUGUGUGUUCCUCUCCUCUGCAUGCCUUAUCGGCCCCAUCAUUUACGAGUUUCCAGGGGCCAGGUCAGUCACGAUUAAAUCAGUGAAACCGGCCAGGUCAGGGACAGGAAUCGUGAUCAGCACCGACCUAUGUUGUUCAUGCAGAUCGCUUUUAUCGCCGACGAUUGUCCACAAUUGUCUUAUCUCCACACUGAAGAAGGCAGGUCAGAGACAGUGUGACCAGUGUCCCAUGUUAGGUUAGCAGCCGUGCACUGACUCCACAACUCCUGGUCUUCAGCUGAAACCCGAUCCCUUGAGGAAUGCGUUCAGUAAUGGCCUCUGUCUGUUAUCUCUCUCUCCCUCACUCUCUCUGCUCCCUCGCCCUCCCACCUCCCCUCUCCCUGUCUCCCUCCCCCUCUCCCUCCUCUUCUCCCCCUUUCCCACACGCAGUGAAUGUAGUGGCGAUUGUGAUCCUGUCUCGGGAAAGUGCGGCCUCUCUACCUGCACCACUCGCUACCUGGUUGCCAUGGCAGCGGCUGAUCUACUGACCAUUGUCACCGCGGUCAUUUUGUGGCGAAUCAAAUCCUAUUACUUCCCGUGGAGUUUUCUGGACAUCACCCCUGUGUGCAGUGUUAUCGAUGUACUGAGAUGCACAGCCGCAAACUGUUCUGUCUGGUUCACCGUCGCUUUCACCUUUGACCGGUUUGUCGCCAUUUGCUGCCAGAAGCUGAAAACAAAAUAUUGCACCGGGAAAACUGCAGCUGUGGUUCUAACAACAAUCGGCGCACUAUUCUGUCUGAAAAAUGUUCCCCGAUACACACGGCAACCCAGGGUGAUCAUCGACAAUGUACCGUGGUUCUGUAAAGUGAUGGACAGUUAUUUCACUGACCCCGGGUGGGGAGGGUAUGACUGGUUCGAUACGGUUUUAACUCCGUUCCUCCCUUUCGCUGGGAUCCUGCUGCUCAACGCUCUGACAGACACAUUUUAGUGGCCAGUCGGGUCCGAAAGGGGCUGAAGGGACAGGGCAAGGGGGAGAACCGCAGUGACCCGGAGAUGGAGAGCAGGAGGAGGUCUGUAGUUUUACUUUUCACCCUCUCCGGCAGCUUCAUCCUCCUGUGGAUGACGGCGGUUGUAAAUUUCAUAUACUAUCAGGUCUCAGGGAAAGGAUUCAGUUUCAAUGAUUCUGAAUGGAUCUUUAUCUACGUCGGGGUUUUGCUGAGUGAUUUCAGCUGCUGCACCAACACGUUUAUUUACGCGGUGACUCAGUCAAAAUUCAGGGAACAGAUAAUUAGGUCGGUGAAAUAUUCUGUCCCCUCGGUGGUUCAUUACAUUAAUAAAGCUGCGUCCUGAGCACAAGCCGGACGCAGCCACAAUUUCUCCAGUCCGGAGGCCAACUCCUCACAUUCACCGCCUGAUCUCGCAGUUGUUAUUCCGGGGCCGACUGUCCCAUUGACCAGUAGGUCUGGGACAUUAGGAUAGUGUGUUUCUGGGGAGGGGCAAAGCACUGUCCUGGACUCGCCAGAUGUCAGUCAACGAACUACUCUGAAAUGCCAG